rnacentral:rRNA from 1 species
CGAGCACGCGCGUGUGGCAUAUCAAUAAGCGGAGGAAAAGAAACUAACAAGGAUUCCCUUAGUAACGGCGAGUGAAGCGGGAAGAGCUCAAAUUUGAAAUCUUCAAGGUUCUACCUUGACGAAUUGUAGUUUAUAGAAGUGUUUUCUGUUAGUAGAGUGGCAAAAGUUCUUUGGAAUAGGACAUCAUAGAGGGUGAGAAUCCCGUAUUUGGUCAUUCUUUCUAGCUUUGUGAUACACUUUCAACGAGUCGGAUUGUUUGGGAAUGCAGUCCAAAAUGGGUGGUAAAUUUCAUCUAAAGCUAAAUAUUGGCGAGAGACCGAUAGCGAACAGGUACCGUGAGGGAAAGAUGAGAAGAACUUUGAAAAGAGAGUUAAACAGUACGUGAAAUUGUCAAAAGGGAAGCGUUUGACACCAGUGUUGUUUUUCCGAAAAUCAAUUACGAAUGUUUUAUUUUUGAGAAGUUAUGACUUCAUCGGCUUGCUUCUCUCUUUAUGAAACUUUCUUAAUGCACUUUUCGGUUAACAAGUCAACAUCAAUUUCUUUUGUUGUAAAAGGGUAUGAGGAAGGUGGCUUUCCUUUCGGAGAAAGUGUUUAUAGCCUUGUACCUCUGCAAUCGGAGAGAUUGAGGUCUGCAGCGUAGAUCCUUCGGGGUUAGAUACAUUUGUGCUAAGUUAUAGCUUUUCAUAGACAACUUGUUGACUAUGUUUAGUCUUGUAGCUUACUCGCUUAUGCUAUUUUACCUACGCUUAGGAUGUUGAGCGCAUGUCUCUCUCU